AGUUUAUUGAGUUGAAUACUCUUUCUUUUGCGGGUAUUGUGAUUAUCACUCGAAUAGGAAGAUCUGAUGC